GAUGAACGCUAGCUACAGGCUUAACACAUGCAAGUCGAGGGGCAGCAUGGUCUUAGCUUGCUAAGGCCGAUGGCGACCGGCGCACGGGUGAGUAACACGUAUCCAACCUGCCGUCUACUCUUGGACAGCCUUCUGAAAGGAAGAUUAAUACAAGAUGGCAUCAUGAGUCCGCAUGUUCACAUGAUUAAAGGUAUUCCGGUAGACGAUGGGGAUGCGUUCCAUUAGAUAGUAGGCGGGGUAACGGCCCACCUAGUCUUCGAUGGAUAGGGGUUCUGAGAGGAUGAUCAGCGAGACUGGGACUGAGACACGGUACAGACUCCUACGGGAGGGAGCAGGGGGGAAUGUUGGACAAGGGGCGGAGGACUGAUCCAGCAAUUCAGCGUGGGUGAAGAAGGCCUUCGGGUUUUAAAGCACUGUUGUUGGGAAAGAAAAGCAGGAGCUUAAUACGCCGGUGUGAUGACGGUACCGGAAGAAUAAGCACCGGCUAACUUCGUG
rnacentral:rRNA from 1 species